UGUGUGUGUGUGUGUGUUUGUGUGUGUGUGUGUGUGUGUGUGUGUGUGUGUGUGUGUGUGUGUGUGUGUGUGUGUGUGUGUGUGUGUGUGUGUGUGUGUGUGUGUGGGUGUGUGUGGGUGUGUGGGUGGGUGUGGGUGUGUGUGGGUGUGUGGGUGGGUGUGGGUGUGGUAAUGAAGGAACCUGUCACUCAGUGCAUUGUGGUUCAUUUGAAUAGUUUUUGGACAGAAAUGGAGCGCUAUGGCGCAGGAGGGAGGGAGGGAGGGAGAAGAUCAACCAGGCUGUGAUACACACACAAUACUUGUUAGUAGAUACAUAAAUUGUUGGUUUUGGUCUUUUAAUGACACUAAGAAAACGUUUUAAAGUGAAUUGUAGUCAUUUGAAAGUAAUCCUAAAUGCUGUCUGUUGUACUCUGGAGAUUUGAGAAUGAAAUCUAAUACAAACAUACUGCUUUUAAAAUCCUAGAUUACCUUCCCUUUUUCCACAAAAAGUGGGAAAUUGUGUGUUUAUAGCCUGGGUCGUAACACUAACAUUGCACUUAUUAAAGUGUUGGCACUCAAUACUGGAGCCAGCAAUCUACUGUGGACGAUUUUAGUAUAACUUCCUUCACCAAAGUCGAGUUAUAAGAGAAAUCUGAUGUCGUUUUUUCCUAAAUGCAACCGUCAGAGGGGCCGCAGCAAGGCUCAAGCUCAUAAUGCAAGAAAUAAGUUCAGUGUCGCAUUAAAAAUUCCAGCUCAGUAAAUAUUUUAUGUCAGAACCGACACAAUUUUUCAGACCUCCAUUUGAGAUACUCAUCGCCUCUGGGUGAUAGAUUUACUACAGCUUAGGCAGCACCGAGGCCCCGGUUCAGUUCAGAAAUGUUAAUAGAAACUGUUGGACUGUCAGUCAUUUAUAUUGCAUAGGACAGAACUCUAGCCAAAGGAUGUUUUUGGAGUACAUUAAACUUGAGGAUUUACGUUUUUUACUAAGUUACAUAACAUUGGAGAGCUGUUUUCUCAUUUAAAUGGAGGAGAAUGCUUUACAUUUCAAAGUCUGACCUGUGUCCUGCAACAAAGUCACUGUAGUUUUCAUGACGGCAGACUAGGACAAAUGCAGUAAAGUAGAUUUAUCCCUGUUUGUUAUCAAAAGAACGGGCCACACUGAUAUAAUUCUCAAGCGUAUAUGCAUUGGUAAAGUAACAACCCCCUCUGUAGUAAUCAGUGAUUGAUAGUUUUGGUUUUUGUUAUGGAGGUGCUUUUUAUUCAGCACAGGGUAAUGGCACCACCUGCUGGAGGACAGUUACAGUGCAGCACGGAUUCUAAUUGGUCCAUGGUCGAAUAACUGAUCUCAGCUCAGUGUGAAACAGAGGUGGAGACGGACACAGUUUGAGUAGAUGGUGAAAUUGAUUUGGAUGAAUCUUAUCAGAAUUUAUUGCACUGUGAUUAUCUUUUUUUUUUUUUCUUAAUUAUAUUUUAUAUGGGUGUUCAUCUUUCCAGAUAUGGGGAAGAAAAAUGUAAAGUCAUUAUAGAUCAACUUGGGAAUCAGACAUUUCAGGCCUCACGCUGAGAAUGACGGAUUUAUUUCACAGGUGCAACACAACGUGUUUGGACGUGCUUUACGUCACACACAGUUCAUCACAGUUCUGCACUUUAAACUGUGUGUGGAACAAACGCAGCGCUGCGACGGCAGGCUGUUAUGCAUCAGUUUAACCACGUUUUCAUGAGCAAGCAGGUCCUAACCUGAAUAUUGGUGUUAAUUUUCAAUAAUGUGGCAGUUGUAGGUUUUUGUUGGGUUUAGUUUUCUAUGCUGUAGUGGGAGAUUUCAAGCGGCAGGCUCACUGUUUGAUGAUGUAGUCGUGCGGAAUUGUUAUGUUGAAAAGUUUUUCUUUUUGGUUUUUGUUUUGCAGUCAAACAUGCUGACACUUGUUUGAAAUGUUGAAUCUGGCCAUUUCAUGCAGUUUUCUGAAAUGUUGACAUUGGCCAAAGGCUCCGCUGCUUGUGGUAAACGCCUAUUAUCAAUAUUAUCACCGGUUUGUUGAACAGUAAAUGUUGCAGAGUAGCCAACUGUGUAUGCCUGCUUCUUGAAAACUCUCCCAAGAAUAUGUUACUACUUUUCACUGCCACAGAAUUGCUAGGAAAUCCCACUCAGUUUACGAGUCCAUGCGCAGUAUCGCUGGUUCUGGACGACCCUUGUUACUGUGAGGGCCAUGUUUUGUGCCGAUGCAUUUUCCAGAUGAUCCUAUGAGUUUUUAAAUGAUUUCUUUAGUUUAUAAAGUAGAGAGGUUUCCUUCACUCACAAAGACACAGGUAAUCCUUCAAUUUAUCAGAAAAAAAUCCUGGUUUUUAUUGGGCAGCCACAGGAUUUGAACCUGUGAUAUUCGGUAUUAAGUGUUCCUCCAAAAAUCCCCUUACUGCUCUCAUUUUACCAGAACUGAUCGAUAUCUUUUUUUUUUUACCAUAUUCUGCUCUACUCUGAAAUGUCUGACCGGUAACUCGGUAACCGGUCGAUAAUUGAGUAAACAAAUAUUUAUUUGGUCCGUCCUAGACCAGGGAUACUGUAUUUGGUUUCCCGAGCUGAGUGGAGUUUCCUAUAAUCAUGUAAGCUACUAAUGAUGCAUUGUGAUAGUGAUGAACAGAAGUUCAGUCAGUAGCCUAUAUUCAGAUAUCUUGUUUUGAGUAGCCACUGUGCAGUAUGUCCAACAUGUGACCCAAACAUGGCUGGUGUUUUGUUUUCAUGUAUCAAACAGCUGUGAUCACUACAGCAGCUCUGGACUCACCAUGUUCACUAUGACAAGGAUUAAACUUUUCUCCUGGAAACAAA